UGCAAGCCUAAUAGCAUUUGUGCAUUUUUGCGAAAAUACUUUUGACUUCCUGUUUACCCACUGGAAUGGCCUCAGGGACUGGUGGCGGCCGGUCCUCGGUCCACACUCGGAGAAAACACUGCUGCACUAGGAUGUUUCCCCCGCAGCCUGACCGCGUGGCCAUCGUGACCGGCGGGACCGAUGGGAUUGGCUACGCCACGGCGAAGUAUCUGGCCAGGCUGGGCAUGCAUGUUAUCAUAGCUGGAAAUAAUGAAGGCAAAGCCGAAGAGGUCGUGAGCAAAAUCAAAGAAGAGACCUUGAAUGACAGAGUGGAGUUUUUGUACUGUGACCUGGCUUCCCUGGCGUCCAUCCGGCGGUUUGUCGAGACGUUCAAGCUGAAGAGGCUGCCUCUCCACGUCCUCAUCAACAACGCCGGGGUCAUGAUGGUGCCGGAGAGGAAGACGCAGGACGGAUUCGAGGAGCAUUUCGGCCUGAACUACCUGGGCCACUUCCUGCUCACCCAGCUCCUCCUGGACACCCUGAGAGCGUCCGGCCGCCCCGGCCGCAGUGCCAGGGUGGUCACUGUGUCCUCGGCCACACACUACGUCGGCGAGCUGAACAUGGACGACCUGCAGAGCAGAACGUGCUACUCGCCCCACAGCGCCUACGCGCAGAGCAAGUUGGCCCUGGUGCUCUUCUCCUACCACCUGCAGCGGCUGCUGGCCGCCGAGGGCAGCCACGUGACCGCCAACGUGGCGGACCCCGGCGUGGUGGACACGGAGCUCUACAGGCAUGUCUUCUGGGGCACGCGCCUGGUUCAGAAGGUGUUCGCCUGGCUGCUCUUCAAGACCCCCGAGGAGGGCGCCUGGACUUCCGUGUACGCCGCGGUGGCCCCGCAGCUGGAGGGCGUCGGCGGCCGCUACCUGUACAACGAGCGGGAGACGGCGUCCCUCAAGCUCACCUACAGCCUGCGGUUGCAGCAAGAGCUGUGGGCCGCAAGCUGUCAGAUGGCCGGUGUUCUCGGCGGGACCCCAGACGCCGCCGCCGCCUCCUCCUCGAGCUAGUCCGGAGCACGCUGCUCGCUCUCAGAGCCCCGGGGAGGACCACGGUGCCCGCGUCUCUCACGCCCACCGGCCCGCCCUCGGGCUCUGCCCUGCAGCCUCGAGCCGGCCCCGCUUGAUUCUCUGCAAGAAUUGAAGGAACUCAGGAAACCCGGAGGGCGACCUCCCCCAGCUGUUCCUCAGCCAAAACCCUUGUCCUGCUCCCAAAGUGCCAAGCAGCGGUCACAGGUGCCUUCGAUAAUUAAACCUUCACACCAAAUCGUGCCAUUCUCCUUGCUUGGCGCGGAGGGGGCGCGGAGGGCUGGGGACAUGAGUUCCGGGGGAGAGGUGACCUCUUUGCGGCCAUUGCAACCAUCCCGCCGGGGGCUGAUAGGGUGGUCCCCUGUGUUGUUCUGUUCCUGCACUAAGUCGUUCUUCCAGAGGCCCGGGCAGGAGUCCCAGGCCCCCUGCACUGAGAGAGGUGAGCCUCGCAUCGGUUUUGCGUGUGCAGUCCCCGCCAGGGUGGACCUUAAUGAAGAGAGGCCCAGUCGGUGGGAGCUGCCUGGCGCUGUCAGAUCAGAGAUGGGCAUGCCGUGUCCCAGCUACACAGGGGAUUGCAGAGGGCAGGGGACUAGGGCAGUGUCCAGACAGUGGUCGCCCUGGGAGUCUCUAGGACAGGGAUGAGGGCAGCACCUGGACAGUGGUCACUGUGGGAGUCUCCAGGACAGGGACGAGGACAGGACAUGCACAGUGGUCACCACUGGAUUAUCCAGGACAGGCAUGAGGGCAGCACCUGGACAGUGGUCACUGUGGACAGAGGAGAAGUCUACUUGCCUGGUUGCCUACUCACCAUGCAACAUCCACAGGUGUCCUCUCUCUUAGGCUCUGCCACAUUUGAUUAUUUUCCGUGAGCACCUGCUCUUACGCUUUUCCUGGUGACAUGUUGAGGGGCUGGGUUAUUUGUCAGUGCGUGACACGGACAUAACUAUAAUCAUCGCAUUCAAUUUACAAGGCUGCCCUCCUGGUUGACACGGACCCAGUCCAGUAGGACCUUCUUUGCUGGACGUUUUCUCCUGACACCUCUGCCCCUGCAGGUGCUGGUACCUCUCCCACCAGGAGCACAAAGCCUGUUCUCCAUCCCUGGGGUUGGGCGAAUGGCGUGGCCGUCCUUUGGGGCUCAGCCAUCGACUCUAUAACGGAAAGUUGGUAGCCUCGGGAAGGUACGUCCACGUCCAAACCUUCAGAAUGUGUGACUGUGGCGUUAUUUGGACAAAGAGUGCUUGCAGAUGCAAUUGAGGAUUUUGAGGUGAGGAGAUCACCCUGGAUCAUGCAGGUGGACGGACCCAACGUAACCACAGGGGUUCCCAUGGGAGAAAGGAAAGGGAAGACAAGAUGUGUUCACUGAGGCAGAGAUUGGAGUAGUGAGGCCACAAGCGAGGCAAUUCCUGGAGCUAGGAGAUCCUGCAAAUGGCAAGAAGGACAUUUUUCCAGUGCGGCCCCCAGAAGGAGCUCAGCACUGCUGACAUCUUCAUUUUAGUCCUCUGGUCUCCAGAACUUGGGGACAAGAAAUAUCUAUUUUUUUAAACCAUCAACAAAUUGACAGUAACUUGUUAUGGUGGCCAUAGGACACUCAUAUCCCUUAUGAAAACUUCACAGAGUUACUGGGCACCUUCUGAGGCUCACCCUUAAUCACUCACCAGUCAGGCAAGGAUGGCUCGAUCCCUUCCUUGAUGGGCGUUGGAUUCUCAAAUUCCUACCCAGAGAGACAAGCCAUUGGAAAUGCUUUUGGAAGAGUGUUGUGUAUCUCCUGCUAAACUGCGCCCUGUUGUGACAGACCAGGGACCACUGGUCAGCUUACUGUCCAUUCCCUCGAGUGACAAAAUCUCACCAAGCACCCCAAAUCUGUGUGGGCUCCCAGCACAGCCAUGCCAUGAAGUCACAGCCAGCACCGGUUCCUGGGUGGGGUUCACAUAGAUCUCCGAAACAAAUACUUUUUACACCACUGCUUGGUUUUUCUGAAAUGGACAUGGUGGCCCUCAUCUGCAAGUUAACUAUCACCUGCCUACUCUUCAGUCUACUUUUGUGUAUGUCUGAAAAUUUCUAUGCUCAAGAGUUAAAAUAAUAAAUGUUGUGUUUGCCCUUUUCUUAAAAAAAUAGAAUCAGCUAUCCCUCUGGAAUGGACAGUUGUCUAGCGGCCACUUAAAAAGACAUGAAGAAAUGUCACUGUUCAGGGUUUUAAUACAUGAGAAAACAGGGAAUGGAUUCUCUUUUCGGUUCUGUGCCUUAGAGGCAUGGUGCUAUUCUCGGCCAAAGCACUCAACUCCAGACUAAAUUGCAUUGUAAAGAUGCUGAAGGUCCUUCCUGGUGUCUGAUAUCUGCUUCUUCAGCACUGGCACAAUUGCUGCCCACUGCCCCAUGUCUGAAGAGCGUUCUUCUGGCCACGAGAGAGUUGGCAUUGUGGAUGUGUCAUUUCUGUGGCAGCGCUAGAGAUAGAGUGUUAAGUUUUCCAGGUGGAGCCUUGAACCACAGGACACUGUGGUCAUGGUACUGUCUCAGAUGACAUGCAGCUGCCCUCCUGGACACAUGGCCCGUUGUAUGGGAGAUAUCUAUGACCUCUCCAAGAUAACCAGGAACUCUGGGUCAUGGAUCCACUAGACAAGGGACCCUCCUUGGUGCAGAAGGAUGAGCGAUCUGGACUUUGUCCCCUGUGAUGUCCAUUUGAGGAGCUCACCUCCUUGUCCGUGUCCUGCUGGGCUGGGCAGAGCUGAGACCUCAACACCCAGGACUGUCUGUGUGGAGAAGAUGAGCUGGAGCCUUUGCCACGGAAACACACAGACUCUGUGCAGGACAUCUGCUUAGGUAAUUGAUGUCCCACAACACUUCCCAGGAAAGCCACAAGCUGAACAAUGAGACUAACCGACCAUCAUAACAGGGCCAAGGAAGGAGAGCCUGCCAGCGGUUACAGGGAAUGAUAGAACUUGAGGAUCAGAGAUUGCUGAACCCCAACAUCCCAGCUGGACUCAUAGUGCCAUGGGGGGAGGUGAACCCUGACAGCGUGAACCAAGAAGAAGAUUUAUGGAUCUAUAGCAGCCUGUACAUCACAUCUGCUACGUCCUCCUGGGGCUCAAGUGUCUGUGUGCAGAUUGGGCAGAUGGUUCCUGCUUAUUCAGACAGCUCACUGCAGGAGACAUCCGAAAGGAGAUAAAAAGAAGAUGAACUCUUUUGAGACCUCAAGACUGGAAGAACAACCCAGCAGCACAGUAUCUUAUGCAAUAGCAGGGUCCCUCUAGGUAAGGGAGGACAAAUUCAGGUCCAGAAGGACAAAGUGUCUUACUGGAUGGAGCCACUUGUUGUAUUGGAGUCCUCUCUUGCUGGUUCCCUCUACCUACCUCAGUAUCUCUCAGUGGGCUGUGGGAUUCUAAGGCGUCAGUGAGAUGGAGAGCAAUUCUCCUGGCCUUUUAUCUUUGGAGAGGCUCCUUGUUGGUCUCUCUUGUCGGGGGGUGUCUCACUUGAUGUUGUCGUAUGUAUGCCCAUUCAGUCCAAAGGAAGAAUGAGAAUACCUGGGCUGCUUUCUGUUGCUAGGUCAGGGGGAGGGAAAUACUGGUUUGGGUUGUCUUUUCUUCCAUCGGGUGAGGGCACAUUCAGACAGCUCACUGCAGUCACCCAGGGCCCCCUGCACAGAUGGCUGCCAUAUUGGUUUAACACUCUGCUGCCGCCAUCUUGAAAUUGUUCAUUACGGUUAAACAAGGAGCUCACGUUUUCAUUUUGCACCAGGGCUGCAUAUUCUGUAGCCAUCUCUGCCUAUACUCAUUCUCUCCUCAAGGAAGGGGAGCAAGUCUGCAGCUAGACACCUCCAUUCCCCAGGAAGCCCUCUGCAAAGAUCUCCCCAAAGCUCCAAUAAGGCUAGAGGUUUUUAACUGCUUACUGGGUGAACCUCUGAAAAUAACUGAUGGUCAGCCCAUUCCCAACAUAAUUCUGGAGUUAAUUCUUCUGGACAUCAGCAUUUAUUUAGAGUCUUCCAAGCCAUCCUCUUGUUCAGCCAAGUUUAAGAUCCCUGGACCUGGGCAAAGGCCAAACACAGCUUCUAGCUUUGGAUGUGAGGCAGCACCUCUGACACCUUCCAUAUGGGAUCAUCUUAAAGACCUAGAACUGCUCAGAGGUUUUGCUAAGCCCUGGAGCCCAGGCAAUUGUGUUUCUGAAAUGGAAUGACCGCCUAUGUUCAACCAAGAUCGAGACAUGCCCUCAUGGGGACAUUUCUGAACAGCCAGCACUAUGUGCCAAAUAGCAGAAUCUUGAAUUCUAGGAAGAUCUCAACCUUUAGCAUUUGCACAUCACCAAAGAGCCUGCUGCAGCUUGAAGUCAUCGCACACAAGUGCCAGCUUCUCUUGUCAUGAUCACAAAGGGAGCUUUAAGUAAGAUUCUCAAUGAGGUAGCAAGGUAUCUCCUGGCCCAAGCUCUAAGUCUUUCUUUAUUGCUGAGAAAACAAGCACACUGGCAAGUGGCAAAUGCCACAAUCCUGAGGCUUGAAGAGAUGGGCUCCGAGACCAAUUAAAGUCUUGUACAAUGCUG